CACGUAGGGACCAAGCGUUGUCCGGAUUCAUUGGGCGUAAAGAGCUCGUAGGCGGUUCGAUAAGUCGGGUGUGAAACCUCCAGGCUCAACCUGGAGACGCCACCCGAUACUGUCGUGACUAGAGUCCAGUAGGGGAGCGUGGAAUUCCUGGUGUAGCGGUGAAAUGCGCAGAUAUCAGGAGGAACACCAGCGGCGAAGGCGGCGCUCUGGGCUGGAACUGACGCUGAGGAGCGAAAGCGUGGGAGCGAACAGG
rnacentral:rRNA from 1 species